UCGGGAAUAUUGCGCAAUGGAGGAAACUCUGACGCAGUGACGCCGCGUAUAGGAAGAAGGUUUUCGGAUUGUAAACUAUUGUCGUUAGGGAAGAGAAAGGACAGUACCUAAGGAGGAAGCUCCGGCUAACUACGUGCCAGCAGCCGCGGUAAUACGUAGGGAGCGAGCGUUAUCCGGAUUUAUUGGGUGUAAAGGGUGCGUAGACGGGUAAUUAAGUUAGUUGUGAAAUCCCUCGGCUCAACUGAGGAACUGCAACUAAAACUGGUUAUCUUGAGUGCAGGAGAGGUAAGUGGAAUUCCUAGUGUAGCGGUGAAAUGCGUAGAUAUUAGGAGGAACACCAGUGGCGAAGGCGACUUACUGGACUGUAACUGACGUUGAGGCACGAAAGUGUGGGGAGCAAACA
rnacentral:rRNA from 1 species